CAACAGCUGGUCUACUUUUAGUGUAUUUCAGGUUACAUGAGGACUAUGUGCUGAUAUGCAGGAGUUCACAGUGAAGGGAAGUGAAACAGAGUGUGAGGGAGAAACUGGUGGAGCAGAAAAAUGUUCAACUGAAGAAUCUUAAAGAAAGUCAUUUCUCCCACAGUGAUACCCGCCCCACCCUGACAGUGCUGCCCCCCUCCAGUGUGGAGCUGCAGCAGCAGCAGC